GAUGAAGGCUGGCGGCGUGCCUAAUACAUGCAAGUCGAGCGAACAGACGAGGAGCUUGCUCCUCUGACGUUAGCGGCGGACGGGUGAGUAACACGUGGAUAACCUACCUAUAAGACUGGGAUAACUUCGGGAAACCGGAGCUAAUACCGGAUAAUAUAUUGAACCGCAUGGUUCAAUAGUGAAAGACGGUUUUGCUGUCACUUAUAGAUGGAUCCGCGCCGCAUUAGCUAGUUGGUAAGGUAACGGCUUACCAAGGCAACGAUGCGUAGCCGACCUGAGAGGGUGAUCGGCCACACUGGAACUGAGACACGGUCCAGACUCCUACGGGAGGCAGCAGUAGGGAAUCUUCCGCAAUGGGCGAAAGCUUGACGGAGCAACGCCGCGUGAGUGAUGAAGGUCUUCGGAUCGUAAAACUCUGUUAUUAGGGAAGAACAAAUGUGUAAGUAACUAUGCACGUCUUGACGGUACCUAAUCAGAAAGCCACGGCUAACUACGUG
rnacentral:rRNA from 1 species